CCCCAUUGCAGAGCUAAAACCGCCGUCGGGUGAGUUCCGGAGAUAAGCGCCGGGUGGGGACAACUUC
rnacentral:sRNA from 16 species